rnacentral:miRNA from 1 species
CUGAGCCAUCUCCCCGGCCCCUGUAUAAAGAUUUUUGAGGGGCUGGGGAGAUGGCUCA